AUUUUCUAUUCCACAUUUCUAUUGUAGCGUACUGUAUGUAUAGAGCAUAAUAUAUUUGUGUAUAUUCUUUAUCACCGCGGAAACGUGAGCUACCAUGGCCUUAUGACUCUCAAGUGGUGCAGCGGUCAAAGGCACAGCACAUCAGUACUAGAGGUGUCACUACAGACUCCCUGGUUCAAAUCCAGGCUGCGUUUCCAUCAAAAAACAUUAUUUGCCAAUAUCAUAACUGAAGCUGGACAUCUUUGGAGCAUAAGAAUGAGGACAGCUUUUGUAUGCUAACGUACACUCCUUAACAGUUGUACUGGAUGAAAACACAGCAAGAAAACGCAUGCCAAUAUGUAAUAUUCAUCUAUUUUAUUGCAGUACUGGUAGUUAUUUCAACAACUUGUUUUACUAGAGGACAAAAAACUGAAUAUGCGUAACCCAUAUUUAAUAUCCAUGCAGUGACUGAACAACAACUGCAUUUCCACCCCCAUCUCUAAGGCAUAGUAUCAUGGCUGGUCACCUGUCAAGUCACAUGUCAGGUCAGUCAGUCACCUAUUGCUGCAGAUGUGCUCAAUAAUGCUUGAGUAUGUGAUACUCCUCAAAGCAUGGUGAAAUACAUAGAGGUGUAUCACAAGCUAGACACAUGUAUUUUGUCAUCUUCCUCUGCUUACUUCUCCUGGCGCCAGACAGGCAGACUUUGCAAUGCCUCCGUGUGCGACUACCUUGAGAAGCAGUUUGAGGGACUUUGCAGGGAAAAUGUCGUGCAGUGAGGCGUAGGGGAUUGUCUACAGCAGGACGACCCCCAGUGGAUGGGCGCCGAGGGGUGUGGUGCUCCUCCAGCAGCUCUCUCAUGAGGUUCUCUCUGUAUUUUUGGUGGUCCACCUUCCCUGUGGCCGACAUGGUUGCUGUAUGGACAGUGGAGAGGACAUGGACGUCUCGCUUGUCAUGCCACUUUACUGCCAGCUGUUGACCGUUCUCUUGGAACUCCACCUCCCCUCUCUGCAUCUUCCUGCAUCCGAAUGCCGGCAUCCCCUUCCUGUUCGACCUGACUGUGCCACAUGCCCCUGUGCUGUUGGAGAGCAGAUGCUGGAAGAGUGUGGGACUGCUGUACCAAUUGUCCACGUACAAAGUGUGUCCCUUGCCGAGAUGAGGAGCCAGCAUGGUCAUCACCACGGACCCUGACACCCCAAGCCCAUCAUAAUGUUUGAUGUCAGUGGUGGACCCUGUGUAAACUAUAAUAUCCUGGACAAAUCCUGUCUUCACGUCGCACAUGACAAAGAACUUGACUCCAAACCUGUGCCUUUUGGAGGGAAUAUAUUGACGGAACGCCAGCCUACCUUUCCAUAACAUCAGGGACUCAUCAAUGCAUAGGUCCUUGUAUGGCACAAAGACCCGACCAAAUGCUGAUGUCAGGCUGAUAAGAACAUUUCUUAUUUUGUAUAACGGGUCACUUAGGAUGGCAGUAGCAUUGUUGACAAAAUGCAGGCAUCGCAGAAGAACUAGGAAGCGAUCUUGGGAAAAGAGGGAGGCAAAGAAGGGAGUUGCAAACAUAGGAUCUGUGCUCCAGUAUUCUCUUAGGGAGUUCUUCUUUACUAUUCCCAUGAGAAGGACUGUCACCAGGAAGGUAUACAUUUCACUAAUUGUGGUUGUCACCCAUUUAGCGAGUUUCCCCCUCACUCCUGGCUCUCUCUUCUCCUGUAGCUCUAAGGCAUAGCGAUUGGUCUCCUCAACUAUCUCUCCCACCAGCUCCUCUGUGAGAAACAACUUGAAGCACUCUGCCUCAGUUGGAAAUGGCAAGGGGCGUUGCACUCCAGACUGGGACUCGUCAAAGCAGACAGCAGGGCCAGGUGGGGUGAAAUGACUGGUGGCCUUCCAGCUACCACAGAACUCCUGUACUUCAUCCACUGUCGGCCUGCCUCCAUCACCACCAGCAUCUUCAAAGGGACCUGGUACUUCCUCAGUUGACAAGGGAAAUUUAGAUUCAGGGUUCUCAAUGGCUACAAGGUUGAGGGGCAGCUCCUCACUGUCACUGUCAGAAUCUGAUUCCUGACUUUCAUACUCAGACUCAUUGUCAGAAUUUUAAAAAAUCUCCAGAAUUUCCACAUUUGUGAGUUGUCUCCUUUUGAAAGACAUUGUUAAAUGCUACAGUUUAGCUCACUAGCUACAUACAUAAACAACAACACUGAAUGGCGCAGAGUGGGAGGUUACGUGGUUGACUGCCGGCACGCGCCACUUGUAUCAAUAAAUCACUAUCAGAAAAUG